CUAUACAUGCAGUCGUACGCUUCUUUUUCCCCGGAGCUUGCUCACCGGAAAAAGAAGAGUGGCGAACGGGUGAGUAACACGUGGGUAACCUGCCCAUCAGAAGGGGAUAACACUUGGAAACAGGUGCUAAUACCGUAUAACAAUCGAAACCGCAUGGUUUUGAUUUGAAAGGCGCUUUCGGGUGUCGCUGAUGGAUGGACCCGCGGUGCAUUAGCUAGUUGGUGAGGUAACGGCUCACCAAGGCCACGAUGCAUAGCCGACCUGAGAGGGUGAUCGGCCACAUUGGGACUGAGACACGGCCCAAACUCCUACGGGAGGCAGCAGUAGGGAAUCUUCGGCAAUGGACGAAAGUCUGACCGAGCAACGCCGCGUGAGUGAAGAAGGUUUUCGGAUCGUAAAACUCUGUUGUUAGAGAAGAACAAGGAUGAGAGUAACUGUUCAUCCCUUGACGGUAUCUAACCAGAAAGCCACGGCUAACUACGUGCCAGCAGCCGCGGUAAUACGUAGGUGGCAAGCGUUGUCCGGAUUUAUUGGGCGUAAAGCGAGCGCAGGCGGUUUCUUAAGUCUGAUGUGAAAGCCCCCGGCUCAACCGGGGAGGGUCAUUGGAAACUGGGAGACUUGGAGUGCAGAAGAGGAGAGUGGAAUUCCAUGUGUAGCGGUGAAAUGCGUAGAUAUAUGGAGGAACACCAGUGGCGAAGGCGGCUCUCUGGUCUGUAACUGACGCUGAGGCUCGAAAGCGUGGGGUAGCAAACAGGAUUAGAUACCCUGGUAGUCCACGCCGUAAACGAUGAGUGCUAAGUGUUGGAGGUUUCGCCCUUCAGUGCAUGCAGCUAACGCAUUAAGCACUCCGCCUGGCGGGAGUACGACCGCAAGGUUGAAACUCAAAGGAAUUGACGGGGGCCCGCACAGCGGUGGAGCAUGU
rnacentral:rRNA from 1 species